AGCAAGUCCAGAGCUCUGCGGUUUGCAUCCCUGGAUGAAGUCUGUCAGACAAGUGAAAAUCUGUUGAGACAAAUAUAGACUCGGGACAGAAGGAUCCCGGAGGCCCUCACCCACACCAUGGAAUCCCAGUCCCCCAACAGCUUCCACGAUGGGGCUUCUUUUAGGAAAACCAAACUCUAGUUCUGGAGGCCAAGACCUGAAGGCCUGCACAGGGCGCCCAAGCCCACCAGGGGGUAGUGUCUACCCAUGUGGAGAGGCCCUGAGAGGCCCAAGCAGAGGAAGGAAGGCAGAGGCCAGAUCUUGUUAGGCAGUGCAGACGUGCACAAGAGAACGUGCUGGCCUCAGACCAGGCCUGGAGCGUGCAGUACCCUGCGUAUGCCUAGGUGUGGCCUCAGGUGCCAGACACUCAGCUGGUCGCUCUGACUUCCGGACCUCUAUCUGAUGAUUUUCCUGGCAGUCUGCAAUCCUUUGUCCACGGAAGCGGGAAGCUUAGCAGUUUGUCUUCUUUAUAGCCUGCAUCUUUAGAGGCGUUAAGAUCCCCUAGCCAUUGAUGGGAGGGUGUUUUCUGGGACUAGCCAGCCUCCUUUCUCCACACUCCAUGAAGAGAUGGGCUGGCCUACAACUACUGCUAGGAACUCCAGAGGCUGCCAUAUUACUCUUAAAAAUUAAGAAGUUUGAUUAGUAAUUCAAGUUCAAGAAGAUAAGAUAUCUUAAGAGGCAGGAGCUCUAACUUCCUUCUUCAUCUCCUCUGGGGUCCUGGAAAUGCUUGACAAUGGAACACAUUGGAUCAAACUGAGGGGGCCUCUGCCUGGGAAAGAAGGGUAAAGACUGAAGGUCCUCUGUGCUGGGGCAAUGCAGGCUGGCAGCCCUGUGACUCUAGACCAUGAUCCAGGGGAACUGAUCAUGUGACUUCUAACAACAUUUGGUGAUGCUGAGUCUGUGUGACUCCAAAGCCUAGGUCCUAGGAAGCACUGUGAACCUCUUCUUGAACCCUCUUCUUGGAUCACGUACUGGGGGGGGGGAAGUCCGCUGCUGUGUCACAAGAAGGGUAUGUGGCAACAACUUAGGGUCACCAACAUUUCGUUCAAGUGAAUAGACAGUCACGUGACUCACAGAGCCAGCCGUCUGAUGACAACGCUGUAUGCAUCCUGACUCAACUUCCUGCUAGAACUUGAGCCUGACCCUCAGACACAGAAACUGAAGCUCAACAGACUUCUCAAGGGCAGGUGGAGUGAGACUAUCUGAUUCACAAGAUGCUGAGAUAGAACACAUCCUACUUUGAAGAAGCCAAAUCCAGGUUUAUGCUGACCUGGCACUGCUUCACCCAGCAUUCCAGAUGCAAAUGCAGAGAAUGGAGAGCCUGCGAGCAACCGGAUGACUGUAGUUUGGAAAUAAAUAGCUCUGGAGCCCGGAUGCUCCUAAAGGAAGCCCGUAUCCGCUCAACUUGGUGGAUGCUGAAGUGCUGGGAGUCGUGAACUGGUGGCUGAAACAGCAACUUGGUCUCCCAACCUUGAUGCCUUAAGAAGGUUCACAGAAAAUGGCCGUCAGCAUUCUUACAGAGUCACUAAGAAGACAAAAUUGGAGCAUCAAAGCCAUCCAGGAAGUGAAAAUGCUCCAGCCUGGGUCAUACACAAAAAGCAGGAGAAAACUUUAACAUGCAUCCUGGCUGAAUCAGUGUCUAAAAGCAGCAUUUGAAAAUAUGAAACAAAAACUUUAAAUCAUAAGUUGCAAAGCUCAGAACAAAAAUACCCCCCAACAUCCUUAUAUACUCAAGAAAAACAUGCAAUAAGAAUUGAAUAAACUCUGGAAAGCAAUAGAAGGAAAAAAUAAAUAAAAUAAAUAAAAAUAAAUGCUAUCUUAGUACCCAUAAGACCCCAAAUAUUAUUGGAUAUGAGGAACGUGAGAGAGAUUAACAGAAUGGAGAUAAAGCAAAGGUGGGAACAAAAGUCAUAUGGAGACCACGUGUUAGACAUCAGACCCAGAAGUGUCUAAAGCAGAAAACACACAAUGAGAAAUAACACGUACCUAAAACUACAGGCUACAGUGAAUGUCUAUCAGGAAAUGAGGAUCUGAAGCUCCGUCUUUAAGGAUUCACAGUACACUUGCAAAA
rnacentral:lncRNA from 1 species